rnacentral:lncRNA from 1 species
GUGAGAUAUCUACCCAAUCAUUAGCCCCUUUUAAAUUGGAUUGUUCAAUUUCUUGCUAUUGAGUUUUAAGAAUUAUUUAUAUAUUUUGGAUAUAGAUGUUUUUAGAUGUGGCUUUUGCAAAUAUUUUCUUAGUCUGUGUUGCCUUCUCAUUCUCUUGGCAUUAUCUUUUGUAAAGCAGAAGAAUUAAGAAUUUGAAAAGUAACAAAGUGGAUUUAUGUACCUGGAAGGGAUAUUAGCUGGUGGGAGAAACAAUUUCAAAGGAUUAAAUGAGUUUAGGGUUUUCAUCUAUAGGUGAUGAAAUAGUGGGUAGUUGUGAUAUCUGUGUGUGUGUAGGAUGGUCAAGGUGACAGGCUUUGCCUAAUAGCAGCUUGUCAAGGCAUCUGGAAUGUAGUUUAUUAAUAGUGUGAGUUAGGGGCCCCACACCUUCUUACUGAGGGAUUGUUAGACAAGUACACUUAAUAACAAACCAUUGCUCAUGCUUCCUUAAUUGUUUCUCAAGAGGGUUAAUUUUGUUGACAUUUUCAAAUAACAACUUCAGGAUUUAUAUACAUUAUUUGAAUUUCUUUUCAAUGUUUAAAACAUUUUCAUUAAUUUCAACUUUAAUUUGUAUCUGUUUUCUAUGUUUUAACUUCGUUCUUUUCCUUAUCUUAAUUAAAAGCACUAGUUUCCAUUUUUUUCACAAUAAAGAUAUUUAAGGUUAUACAUUUCCACCUAAUUAUAGCCUAACAGCACCCUAAACAUUUUGGCAUGAAUUAUUAGAUUAUAAUUUUGCUUUUAUUUUCUCUUUGAUUAUUUAGGUGGCUGGGUACAUUCCAAGUAAAGGUUGUUCUGUGAUUUUUGUUUUUGUUAUUGGCAAUUUAAAGUUACUUUUAAUUGUAUUGUAGUGUGACCUGAGAAUAUAACCUAGUAAUGCAUUUACUUUUCAAAAUUGUUUGUUGUCGUGUGAGGAAUUUUUUUUUUUUAAACUGGGCAUUAAACACAAGGCCUUGUGCUUGCUUAGCGAGAAUUCUACCACUAGCUGUAACUCCAACCUUUUUAAGUUUUUGAGACAGUGUCUCACUAAGUUGCCUAGAUUGGCCUUGAAUUUGUGAUACUCCUGCCUCAGCUUGCUGAUUACAGGCCUGGUGCAAGAUUUGUUUGUUUGUUUGUUUGUUAGUUAGUUGGUACCAGGGAUUGAACCCAGGGGUGUUCUACUGAACCACAUCCCCAGCCCUUUUUUAUAUUUUAUUUAGAGAUAGGGUCUUUUGAACUCACAAUCCUCCUGCCUCAGACUCCCUAGAUGCUGGGAUUACAGGUGUGCAGCACCGCACCUGGCCACAAGAUAUAUUUUUUAAGUGAUUUCAGUAAUACAAAAAAUCUUUUUCUUUAGUUGUAGGGUGCAAAAUUGUGUGUGUGUGUGUGUGUGUGUGUGUGUGUGUGUAGAGAAAGAGCAAAGUUGAUUAAUUUCCUCUAUGUAUUUCUAGACAGGUUCUCUAUGUAGGGCAGAUCUGGA